UAGUCCACGCCCUAAACGAUGCUAACUGGAUAUUCGCCUUCGAGGUGAGUGUCUGAGGGAAGCCAUUAAGUUAGCCACCUGGGGAGUACGUCGGCAACGAUGAAACUCAAAGGAAUUGACGGGGGCCCGCACAAGCGGUGGAGCAUGUGGUUUAAUUCGAUGAUACGCGAGGAACCUUACCAGGGCCUAAAUGCAGUAUGACAGAUUUGGAAACAGAUUUUUCUUCGGACAUAUUGCAAGGUGCUGCAUGGUUGUCGUCAGCUCGUGCCGUGAGGUGUCAGGUUAAGUCCUAUAACGAGCGCAACCCCUAUUGCUAGUUGCCAGCGGAUAAUGCCGGGGACUCUAGUGAGACUGCCGGUGCAAACCGUGAGGAAGGUGGGGAUGACGUCAAAUCAUCACGGCCCUUACGUCCUGGGCCACACACGUGCUACAAUGGUAGGGACAGAGAGCAGCCACUUCGCGAGAAGGAGCGAAUCUAUAAACCCUACCACAGUUCGG
rnacentral:rRNA from 1 species